rnacentral:misc_RNA from 1 species
GCAAACUUGGUCAUUUAGAGGAAGUAAAAGUCGUAACAAGGUUUCCGUAGGUGAACCUGCGGAAGGAUCAUUAAAGAAUUAGCGGAGGUUUUGAUGCCUGCAGCUUGCUGCGUGUGCUCGCCUCCAAAAUCCUUUUCCAUACACCUGUGAACUUUUGCAAGUGAGAAGAGAAAUCUUCUUACUUGUUAUACAUAAACUCUGAUAAUAUUUUGAAUAUAUCAAGUCGUAAGACUUAUAACACAUAAACAACUUUUAACAACGGAUCUCUUGGUUCUCGCAUCGAUGAAGAACGCAGC